UUGAUUAAGGUGGACAAAUUUUAUUACGAUGGGUGACAAUGGUUACAAGGACCCAAAAUUAUUUUUUAAAAUUUAACUCGAACAAAUAUAUUCGAUUCGAUUCGAUUCGAAUUCCAUCUCACUCGACUCGAUUCGAGAAAACUUCAAAUAAAGUUAGGUUGAUAAAAUGAGAUUCGAAAACUCGAUUAACUCGAAAAUUUUCGAUUCGAUUCGAUUCGAUUCGAUCGAAUGCUCACCCCUAAUUGAAACUGAGCGACGCUGCUGCAAUUUUAGUGUGCGCAAUGGUUUUCUUGUUUGGAAUGCUUGUCCAUGUAAUGAGUUAGGCAUCCCAUACCGCAUGCUAUUCUAAAAUAAUGGAAUGAAACCUUACGACAGUGUUUGGUGCUGAAAGUAUGAGCAUUAUCUUUGUAAAAAUAAAAAUAAAAAUGUUGGCCGGUUUCUUAUAUUUAAAAAUUAAUGCAUGAUUUGGUUUCAUUGUUCAAUUAUUUGGUAUGGUGAUAUCUAUGGUUGUGGGUGAUACUUGAAGGUCCUACAUUUAGGUAUAGAUUUUGCAAUUGGUACUCGUUAAAGGUAUAUUGUUUUAUGCAUUUGAGAUGGAUGAAUAAAUCUCUGGAAGAAAUACACUGGAAACCAUUAAAGGAAAAGCAAGAAAAGCAGUUUAAUUUCCAAAGACACGCCAGCCAACAAUACUGACGAUAAUCUGUAGCAAAGAACAGUACAACAUGAUAUGAUUGUAUUGGAAGAAAGAGCGGUUAAUGGAUGCCCAAUAACUGUUGUAAUAGCAGUGAAUUUCUCGGAAUUGCUUACACAGAUAGCAUUCUUGCAAAGUGGAACCAACUUUUGUACGAAUCCCAUUCAGCAUGUUUUUGAAACUUUCCUCAUUUCGCGAAAAGCCAUUGAUAAUGUCAGCAGAACGAAGGUAUCUGACAUCUUCGGGUUGCUUCAUCAGGCAACUCAUGAAGCAUACAUAAGCAGUGAAAUGUUUGGAUUCAUCCGUGAAGCAUUGCUCACUUUAUGGAAAAAUGCCUUUUAUCGAACCCUAAAGACUUUGACCCCAGAAGAACUGCAGAAAAGGGCUUUGGGAUGUAGAAAGCGACAAUAAUGGCCAACAAGAAGGCUGCGUUUUGCGGGUUAUAUCCCAGUUUUAGUCAUUCUAUCUAAAAUGUUCUUUGCAGGUGUGUCACUGUUUGCGGCACUUGGCUUUUUACUGUAUGGUGGAAGGUAAUUGCAUUGACAUUUAGUGUAUUGUUUCUAAUUGUUUUAAUGGCAUUCGAGCUAGCUUAGUGUGAUAAUUUGUUUUAUGUGUAGGGAGCACACAUUUUAAAACCUGUAUAUCAUUUUUCUUUUUAUAUGCUGACAUAGGCUUUGAUAUCUGGUUUGUGAAUUAAAGGAGUGGAUUUUUCCCUGUUUUUUUAAUUGUCUUCUUUGCUUUGGAGUUUAGGGUUUUGAAUUCACCCCAUGCAAUCUAAGUUGCAAGAACAUCGUUGCUGUUGAUGUUCUUGUUUCUCUCGAUUAGUUGUUGCUAUGAAUCUUUUGCCCUUUUAAUGUUUUUUUCCCUACUGAGGAAAUGCAUCCUGUAUAUCAUUUUUAAUUUUCCAAUUUUUUGUUGAUUAGCAAUUUAUUUAUUUUCUGUGUGUAGUAUUUUUCUAUAUUUUUUUUUAUCAUUCAUCAUGCUAUCCCUUGCACUGCAGUUAACAAAUUGCUUGUGGAAUUUGUGAUUUGCCAUAUCUUUUUCGAUCUCAUUUUGUGUCUUCCAUAACUGGAAUUGUUAUAAUACUUCUUAUCUUGUGUGGAAGACUGCAAAGGUCUUAGUCUCUUUAAUUCGUUAUCUUAUUUGAUCAGGUGCUCUCACUUUGCCGAUCCAAUUUCUUUUUGUGGUAAUGUUUAAUUAUAAGUUGUUUUGCUGCUGGAGAUACAUCUCCGUUUUCCUUUUACCUUUGUGGAAGCUAAGGGUAGAAUUUUUUUUGGGGGGGUCUAAAAUUAGUUCUCAUUGCUAUUAUUUUCGAAUAAAUUAUUUUUUUUCUAAACAUUUUUAUAUAUUUCCUGUUCUGUGUAUUCUUUAUUUUGCCUAUUUUAGUCGUUUCAUUUAUUCCGAUUGGUCCUUCAGAGUUCUAACUUAGACAGUUCUGUUUCUUGCUAUGUUUGUUUGAACUUUUAUUUAUUUUCUAUGCCUUUAUGUUGUUAUUUUUGUCUUUAGUAACAUAUUUGUGCCUACCUCAAGGUUAGCUGACACUUAAAUUAUAAUUUGUCUUAGGCUUAUGUUGUAAUGUUAUUGAAGUUCUUUUGCUAUGUUAUGUUGUAUGCAAUGGUUCGAAAUUGUGAUCAAAUUGUGUAACACUUCCUAGGUAAUGCUAUUCUUUAAUCUUAACUCAAAACUAAGCUAUGGUUUCUCGUGUUCUUUUCCCUUAGGUUCCCCAAUGAAAAUGAUCUCGGGAUGAGGUGUCCAUUGAUAUCCGUUUUAUUUCUUGCCUGUUUAGUUUUAUUCUGUUCUAAUUUCCAUUGCCCCUUCAAGUAUAAAGAGCUUCUUUUUUCUUUUUUUUAAAAAUUCUCAUGCUAACAAGGACAUUAACCUUAUAUGCAAUUUUCAGUUAUAACAUUGGACUAAUAUUUUCUGUUUUUCUUCAUCUUGAGUUGAUGUGUACAUGAUUUAUUGAAAAAAAGCUUUUCGUUUCAUCUUGAGUAACAUGGUUCUUUGUUUUC